GUGGGGAAUAUUGCACAAUGGGCGCAAGCCUGAUGCAGCCAUGCCGCGUGUGUGAAGAAGGCCUUCGGGUUGUAAAGCACUUUCAGCGGGGAGGAAGGCGUUAAGGUUAAUAACCUCAUCGAUUGACGUUACCCGCAGAAGAAGCACCGGCUAACUCCGUGCCAGCAGCCGCGGUAAUACGGAGGGUGCAAGCGUUAAUCGGAAUUACUGGGCGUAAAGCGCACGCAGGCGGUCUGUCAAGUCGGAUGUGAAAUCCCCGGGCUCAACCUGGGAACUGCAUUCGAAACUGGCAGGCUAGAGUCUUGUAGAGGGGGGUAGAAUUCCAGGUGUAGCGGUGAAAUGCGUAGAGAUCUGGAGGAAUACCGGUGGCGAAGGCGGCCCCCUGGACAAAGACUGACGCUCAGGUGCGAAAGCGUGGGGAGCAAACAGGAUUAGAAACCCUUGUAGUCC
rnacentral:rRNA from 1 species